rnacentral:lncRNA from 1 species
CUCCAGCCUGGACUAGAAGAGAGAAACUCUGUCUCACAUAAAUAAUAAAGAGUUACUGAAAAAGCAAGGAUAACUUAUGUGGAUUAACAAUAUGGAAACAUCCUGAAACUACUUUGGAAUCACCUUAAAUUAAGUGGAUUCAAAUUUUGCAAACAGGGAAACCAGUCCAUGAACAAUUUGCUACAGGACUUCCAGUAUUACGUUGAAUAGGAGUGGUGAAAGUGGCCAUCUUUGUCUUGUUCCCGGUCUUGGGGG